rnacentral:misc_RNA from 1 species
GUAAAAACAAGAUUUUCAAUAGUAAAUUUAUAUUCUUAUACAAUAUUAUUAAAUAAUACAUGCAUAUUCAAUAAAAUAGUAAAUGAAAUAUUUACAAAAGUAAGCUAUCAUUACAAACAGUCAUUUAUUAUGGUCAAGAAUGGAGGUAUCAUGAUGGAAUUGGAAAUUUCAUCCAACAUAUACCUUAAAAGACUAACUGGUGGAAGCAUAUGAUCGAAAAGCUUCCCAAGGCAUUGACUUCAGUAAAUUCCCAGGGAUAGUUUUGGAAGUGUAAUUCCGGUAAUUGGAAUCACUGAGCAUGAAGGGGAAUAAGCUGGUUUCUGCCAUCAAAUAUUUUGUUUUUCAAAACUGCCAUCAAAAAGCAUCUUCUAGAAAUAAAUCAAUCUACUAACUGAUGACAAUCAUCUUUGUGGAAAUUACCUGGAAAAGCUGAUCUAGAGUCUAGACACUACUGGGAUAGAGCCAGUUCCCUGACCACCAAAAGGAACAAAAAAAUUUCCCAUUCAUCAGUCGUACUCUGAUGUAUCAAAUUUUUAGCUUGCAGCUGCCUUGGAUGCAACAAUCACACUCUUUCUGAAUAAUUUUUGUACACAAUCUUACAAAACCAGUCAAUCCUAAAUCAUGUAUAGAUAAACUUCCUUUUCAGGGCAAAGAUACACUAAUGAACGCUUUGGACCUACAAAGCUUUUUACCGAAUGUGCAUCCUCAAACAAGCAUUCCAUUACUACACAAACUCUUAACGUGAAUGAACCUGCUUUUGGAGUUCUGUAAAAGGGUGUAGCAUGCGUAAAUUUUGUGACCUCAUCACAGCCUCCAAGAAUCUUCAAAUCUAAAAAGAAAAACUGAACCAACUCUUCACUCAUUGCCAUCCUUACCCACAACCUAGCAUCCCUUGAUACAUUGUGCAAGGUAAUCUCUAAAGGUAUAGCAACAGGUAGGCCUGAGAUAAAAGGGAGAGGGUUUUCAAAAUCAUUACCAGGAACACUCAACGCAGCAUAUAAAUGAGUUACUCUGCUUAAACUGAACUGCUUUGCUGAAUAGUGGUUAAUCAACUUCUUAAACACGAAGGGACUGCAGGAAACACAUCCUAUUGGAGUGCCUAUCUCAUGCAAAGUUUUCUUAACUUCCAUUACAAAAUUGGACAAUUCAAUAGAUCCUUCCUUGUUAAGAAACUCUAAAUGUGAAAUUGUAGUAGACAGCUUUUUCAAAGUGGCAAGGUAGCAGCAGAUUUCAACUUCGGACAACCUCAGAAUACAUGCCAAAAGUGUAAGCUCCAAGAUAUGCGACGACUCUUCUUUAGAAAACCCUAUAAACCUACACCUCAUUUCUCUGAGUCUCCUUUCUAGUUUCCCGAAGAGAAUCUCUAGUUCUCCAAUUUCACAAGAUUGGACCUUCCACACAAUGUGCCCCCAUAUCUUAACAAGCAGUUUAAUUACGUGGAGGUAUUGCGAGGUAAAUGCCAAUGCACCCACAGAUUCAGGCAAUGCAGGAGUAAAAAUUGCCAACUCUUCCUUGCAAGCCCUCAAAAUCUUUAAUGCCUCACUGAUGCAUCUUGAUUGUACCAACAGCCAUAAAUCUUUGACCUGGGCAAGGAUAAGAUUCACAGAUUUCCUGAUUUGACCAUGCUCUUCCAGCUGGCAUUCUAUAAUUGAAGUCCCUACAUUCCCGGAUUCACAAGAUAUCAUAGAAUGAAUUUCAGAAUUUUCAUUGCCUAUUUGCAUCAAAGGCAUUGCAACGGGAUUGCUAUCAUUGAUGACAGUAGUAGUUGCAACAUCAACAUCAGCCACAGGCAGUGAAAAUUCUUCCCCUUCAACUUCCAUGCCAGAGGAAAUGUAGGAUCUACUGCACCGAGACAAAUAAGCCAAAAGUGUAUUUUGGUCCACAAUGUCAUUCAAAGCAGAAGUGAUACGUCCUAGCAAGGUAACCGCAUAAGAGAAUAAUCUGGGUGGGAUACUUUGACCAUUCUGAUCACAAGAGAGUGGAGCUGAGAUGGAAAGUACAAGAAAUGCAGCUACUCUUGCACUAUCCAGGCCCAAAUCUCCAUUAGAAACUGGCUCUAUCUCUUGGGAAACCUCCUUGAUAAUGCAGGCUGUAAAAUUCCCAUGGUUUUGACCCAUAUAAAACAAAACUGAGAAGACACCUGCUUCAUCCUGAGGAUAUAUCUCCAAACUUUCGAGAAGGCCAUCGACUGAGAGUCUAAAUAAAUCCAAACUGGGCAGCUUCACUAAUUUAAAAAUUUUUCUCGCUGCAGAUCUUAUUGGAUCAUUAUUGUCAAUUAGAGAACCAAGAAACAUAUGCAUGUGUAUCUCUUGCACAUUUAGACACUCAGAGAUUGCCAUAUGAUGCAGUGUUUCCAGAGCUUCUAACCUGAUAACCAUUGAAUUAGCAUUCAGCAUGUCCAUCAACAGGCUUAAGGCCUGAUCAGCAAACUCAGAAGAAAGGGUGAUGAGCUUCCGCAAAGAGCAACAAGCGGACUUUUGCACCUCACAGAAUUCAUCUUCAAGCCCAUGAAUAAAAGCUCCAGCAGCACUUGAUGCCAAAAGUUCAAAAUUUUCUGUAGUGUGUAGGCUGUGAGAUCUCUUCUUUUUCAUGAUCGAUAGGACCUUCUUAGAUAGGGUUUGUAACAAAAUGUCCUCAGAUACCAUUUGUAUGUUCCCGAGGGCAUUAAAAACUUCUAUCCUGACACCCACACACAUAUCCCUUACCAUAGAACAGAGCUGUAUGAAUACUGUAUUUGACCAAUCUCUUUUAUCUUCCUCUUGACUGGAUGCUAUAAGCAUUUGACCCCAUUCUUUGACCACGCGAACUGCAGCACACCGUACACAAUCUUCUGCAUCUUUUAGAAGCUCAACAACACGGUAAUAGCAUCCUUCAAUCACACUCCGAUCUUCAAAAACUCCGAAUUUACACAAGCCAACUAAUCCAUCCAAGGCCUCUUUCCUCACAUAGGGAUAAGGAUCCUUCGUAAAACCCAAAAACACAGUGAACAACACGUUCAACCUUAUACCAAACUUCUCGGCAUUUCUUAGAAGCCACAAUCGUGCAGAUACCGAGGCACCAAAACACAGCGAUACAAAGAGUCGAUCAUCCAGCUCGAUUGGUAAAGUUGGAUUGCACUUUGAGAUGGAAGAGAGGGCAGCGAGUGACUCAGCAGCUAGGAGACUUGAGUCGGUGGAGACGAGCGAGUUGGAAUGGAGCGAGUGGAAUAUAAGAGGGGAGAGAUGAGUGCGGUAUGAGGCGAGGUCAGUGAACAGCUUGAGAGUGUGAUGGCGAGUGAGCGAAUCAGCGGUCUGCUGGACAGAGCGAGUUAGGGUUUUGAGUAUUGAAGAAAUAGUGGAAUUGGAAGUGUGAGGAUUAACGAUAAGAGACCUCAUGGAAGCUAGGGCUUGUAGAGAGAGAGGCUUAUCGAUGUCCAGAGACUGCUCGCACGAGCUCCACACGCGCUGCUCCAUUGAAGAUCACUGAGCUCUCCCUUCAUUACUCAACUAACCAUGUGCGAAGUUUUGAAAGAGGAAUCGCCGCUCGCUG